rnacentral:lncRNA from 1 species
AUGUCUGACAAACCUAAAGUGUAUCAAGGUGUGCGAGUGAAGACCACUGUCAAGGAGCUUCUUCAGAAGCGCAGAGCAGCUCUACAGGCUGCAGAAUCUCAGAAAUCGCAAACUGUGCCCUCUCCCGACUCAUGUCCCACAACGCUUCCUGCAGCCCAUGGAGAUGUUUUUCCUGCCAGCUCGGUGCCAGACACCUACUUCCAGCCUCGGCAGUUUGCUGACAAUGGGCACAUCUCGAUGGAGGACACGUUCCUGAUGAACGCGAUGCCUUCUGAGGGUUUGCACGCCAGCAGCACGUCGUGCAGCCCUGCUGCUUGGAUGGAUGGAUACAACAUCCCUGCAUGCAUGGACUACUACAGCAACCCCUUAGCCCUUCUUUCUAGUUCACCAACACACUCCUUUAACCUCCCCAGCCCAGCAGAUUACAACAGCUACUCCCCCCCUGAGUCUCACUCCUCGUCUUCCUCGUGCUACAGCUCUCCAUCACGCCUGGAUCUCAGCACCAGUUUUGCACCGGAAAGUUGCCACUACCAGCAGCACUUUGACCUGCAGCACUGCUACAGUCACUGGCCCGCCCUGAACGAGGCAGGAACCGCCUCAGAAUACACAGCUUACAGCUCUUCAGACUGUUUUUACCCAACCUUUGGUGAAGAUCUCUACAGCAGGAGGGAAUCGUCCAGCGCUGAGCUGUGUUACCUAUAAGAGCACUUUGUCCAAGUGACUGUUUUUGUACAGUGUCAUGAAACGAUGUCCAGCUUUU